UACAGAGGGGGCAAGCGUUAUUCGGAAUUAUUGGGCGUAAAGGGCGCGUAGGCGGCUUGGCAAGUGGAAGGUGAAAUCCCUCGGCUUAACCGAGGAACUGCCCUCCAAACUGCUUAGCUUGAGACCGGGAGAGGUGAGUGGAAUUCCCAGUGUAGCGGUGAAAUGCGUAGAUAUUGGGAAGAACACCGGUGGCGAAGGCGGCGACCUGGUCCGUGACUGACGCUGAGGCGCGAAAGCGUGGGGAGCAAACAGG
rnacentral:rRNA from 1 species